GACGAACGCUGGCGGCGUGCUUAACACAUGCAAGUCGAACGGAAAGGCCCCUUUGGGGGUACUCGAGUGGCGAACGGGUGAGUAACACGUGAGUAACCUGCCCUUUACUUCGGGAUAACUUCAGGAAACUGGGGCUAAUACCGGAUAGGAAUCCUUGCUGCAUGGUGGGGGUUGGAAAGCUUCGGCGGUUUUGGAUGGACUCGCGGCCUAUCAGCUGGUUGGUGGGGUGGUGGCUUACCAAGGCUUGGACGGGUAGCCGGCCUGAGAGGGCGACCGGCCACACUGGGACUGAGAGGCGGCCCAGACUCCGACUGGAGGCAGCAGUGGGGAAGAUUGCACAAUGGGCGGCAGCCUGAUGCAGCAACGCCGCGUGCGGGAUAACGGCCUUCGGGUUGUAAACCGCUUUCAGCAGGGGCGAAGCUUGUGGUGACGGUACCUGCAGAAGAAGCACCGGCUAACUACGUG
rnacentral:rRNA from 1 species